UGGGGAAUCUUGGGCAAUGGACGAAAGUCUGACGCAGCGACGCCGCGUGGGUGAAGAAGGCCUUCGGGUUGUAAAGCCCUGUCGAACGAGAAAAACAGCCAUUAGAAUAAUAAGCUAGUGGUUUGAUGGUAUCGUUAGAGGAAGCACCGGCUAACUCUGUGCCAGCAGCCGCGGUAAUACCGAGGGUGCAAGCGUUGUUCGGAAUUAUUGGGCGUAAAGGGCAGGUGGGUGGUCUCAAAAGUCUACUGUGAAAUCCCUGGGCUUAACCCAGGAACUGCGGUGGAUACUCUGAGACUUGAGUGUCGGAGGGGCAUGCGGAAUUCCCAGUGUAGCGGUGAAAUGCGUAGAUAUUGGGAGGAACACCAGAGGCGAAAGCGGCAUGCUGGACGACAACUGACACUAAACUGCGAAAGCGUGGGGAGCAAACAGG
rnacentral:rRNA from 1 species